rnacentral:rRNA from 1 species
GACGAACGCUGACGGCGUGCUUUAGACAUGCAAGUCGAAUGAGAAAGCCCUUCGGGGUGAGUAAAGUGGCGAACGGGUGAGUAACACGUGGGCAAUCUGCCCUUCGUUGGGGGACAACCGGGGGAAACCCCGGCUAAUACCCCGUAAGCUUGUCGGGUCGCAUGGCCUGACAAGGAGAGGUAGCUUCGGCCAUCCGGCGAAGGAGGAGCCCGCGGUACAUUAGCUAGUUGGUGAGGUAAUGGCGUACCAAGGCUACGAUGUAUAGCUGGUCUGAGAGGAUGAUCAGCCACACUGGGACUGAGACACGGCCCAGACUCCUACGGGAGGCAGCAGUCGGGAAUCUUGCACAAUGGGCGAAAGCCUGAUGCAGCAACGCCGUGUGAGCGACGAAGGCCCUAGGGUCGUAAAGCUCUGUUGUUAGGGACGAAGGGCGAAGGGUUAAUAGCCCUUAGCCUGACGGUACCUUUCGAGGAAGCCCCGGCUAACUACGUGCCAGCAGCCGCAGUAAAAC